rnacentral:rRNA from 1 species
GUUUGAUCCUGGCUCAGAACGAACGUUGGCGGCGUGGAUUAGGCAUGCAAGUCGAGCGAGAAAGGGGAGCAAUCCCUGAGUAAAGCGGCGAACUGGUGAGUAACAGGUGGGUAAUGUGCCUUUCAGUGGGGGAUAACACUUGGAAACAGGUGCUAAUACCGCAUAUUGCUCGGAAAGCAUAGGCUUUCUUGGCAAAAGGUGCCCAUAAGCAAUUGUGGGUGUCGCUGGAAGAUCAGCCCGCCCCUGAUUAGCCUGUUGGGGAGGUAACGGCUCACCAAAGCUAUGAUCAGUAGCUGGUCUGAGAGGAUGGUCAGCCACACUGGGACUGAGAUACGGCCCAGACUCCUACGGGGGGCAGCAGUCUAGAAGCUUCGGCAAUGGGGGAAACCCUGACCGAGCGACGCCGCGUGCGGGAUGAAGGUCGUGAGAUUGUAAACCGCUGUCAGCAGGAAAGAAUGCCCGAAUGGUGAAUUCGGGAGAGACGGUACCUGCAGAGGAAGCCCCGGCUAACUCCGUGCCAGCAGCCGCGGUAAUACGGAGGGGGCAAACGUUGUUCGGAAUUACUGGGCGUAAAGGGUGCGUAGGCGGUUCGGUAAGUCUAGUGUGAAAUCUCUCAGCUCACCUGAGAAACUGUCUGGAAACUGCCGAGCUCGAGGAUGGAAGAGGCAGGUGGAAUUUCUGGUGUAGCGGUGGAAUGCGUAGAUAUCAGAAAGAACACUCGUGGCGAAGGCGGCCUGCUGGUCCAUUUCUGACGCUGAGGCACGAAAGCCAGGGGAGCAAACGGGAUUAGAUACCCCGGUAGUCCUGGCCUUAAACGGUGAACACUAGGUGUCGGGGGUAUCGACCCCCUCGGCGCCGCAGCUAACGCGUUAAGUGUUCCGCCUGGGGAGUACGACCGCAAGGUUGAAACUCAAAGGAAUUGACGGGGGCCCGCACAAGCGGUGGAGUAUGUGGUUUAAUUCGACGCAACGCGAAGAACCUUACCAAGGCUUAAACUGCAGGGUAAACCCUCCGAAAGGAGGGCUGCUUCGGCGAUCCUGUAGAGGUGCUGCAUGGCUGUCGUCAGCUCGUGUCGUGAGAUGUUGGGUUAAGUCCCGCAACGAGCGCAACCCUUGUCCUUAGUUACCAGCGCGUAAUGGCGGGGACUCUAAGGAGACUGCCGUCGCAAGACGGAGGAAGGUGGGGAUGACGUCAAGUCCUCAUGGCCCUUAUGUCUUGGGCUACACACGCACUACAAUGGCCGGUACAACGAGCCGCAAGAACGCGAGUUCAAGCAAAUCUCAAAAAGCCGGCCCCAGUUCAGAUUGCAGUCUGCAACUCGACUGCAUGAAGUCGGAAUCGCUAGUAAUCGCAGAUCAGCACGCUGCGGUGAAUACGUUCCCGGGCCUUGUACACACCGCCCGUCACAUCACGAAAGUCAGUUGUACCAGAAGUCGCUGAGCUAACCGCAAGGAGGCAGGCGCCUAAGGUAUGGCUGGUAAUUGGGAUGAAGUCGAAACAAGGUA